CAGACACGGCUGCUCGUUGCUUCUACCUUUGUGGCGAUUUUGACGGGCACUUGAGGUGUUUCUUUUUCUAGUGGAUCGACGGUCCUGAUAAAUUUGACCCUCGAUAUCUUCUUUUCGCUAAUUGGUUGUGUGAAAGGACUAGUCAUGAGCGUUUUAAACGUUGGGUACCUCCUCUCCCGAAUCCUCCACCAAUGACGGAUGCAGAGAAGGAGAUAGCAAUAGAAAGAAGGAUGGACUCACCGCCUCGAUGCGAUUGUGGAGACCGUGUUGUCAUCGACGAAGACACUGAGAAGCAGUUCGUGUGUCCGAACAUUGAUUAUGUGGCGUAAGUGUCGUUUCAGAGAGUGGUUGUAUGGUCCUUUGUCCCAUUGGCUAGAGCCAGAGGUAAAGGAAAAGAAAAAAAUCAGUGGGCGGAAGAGUUGAAGUUUGAUCCAAUACUCUGCAAAUGUGGUAUUGAAGCUAAGUAUGGAUUAGUUCCUUUCGAGCUUGGUGUUGGAUAUUUUUGUGGACAU